rnacentral:rRNA from 1 species
GGGUGGGGUGACUGCGUACCUUUUGUAUAAUGGGUCAGCGACUUAUAUUCUGUAGCAAGGUUAACCGUAUAGGGGAGCCGAAGGGAAACCGAGUCUUAACUGGGCGUUAAGUUGCAGGGUAUAGACCCGAAACCCGGUGAUCUAGCCAUGGGCAGGUUGAAGGUUGGGUAACACUAACUGGAGGACCGAACCGACUAAUGUUGAAAAAUUAGCGGAUGACUUGUGGCUGGGGGUGAAAGGCCAAUCAAACCGGGAGAUAGCUGGUUCUCCCCGAAAGCUAUUUAGGUAGCGCCUCGUGAACUCAUCUUCGGGGGUAGAGCACUGUUUCGGCUAGGGGGUCAUCCCGACUUACCAACCCGAUGCAAACUGCGAAUACCGAAGAAUGUUAUCACGGGAGACACACGGCGGGUGCUAACGUCCGUCGUGAAGAGGGAAACAACCCAGACCGCCAGCUAAGGUCCCAAAGUCACAGUUAAGUGGGAAACGAUGUGGGAAGGCUCAGACAGCCAGGAUGUUGGCUUAGAAGCAGCCAUCAUUUAAAGAAAGCGUAAUAGCUCACUGGUCGAGUCGGCCUGCGCGGAAGAUGUAACGGGGCUAAACUGUGCACCGAAGCUGCGGCAGCGACGCUUAUGCGUUGUUGGGUAGGGGAGCGUUCUGUAAGCCUGCGAAGGUGUCCUGUGAGGGAUGCUGGAGGUAUCAGAAGUGCGAAUGCUGACAUAAGUAACGAUAA